rnacentral:tRNA from 1 species
GUUCUUGUAGUUGAAUUACAACGGUGGCUUUUCAUGUCACAGGUCAUGGUUAGGUCCAUGCGGGAAUU